UUAAACGGCCGCGGUAUUUUGACCGUGCGAAGGUAGCGUAAUCAUUUGUCUUUUAAAUGAAGACUUGUAUGAAUGGCGUCACGAGAACUAAUCUGUCUCCCUCCCCUAAUCAGUGAAACUGAUCUUCCCGUGCAGAAGCGGGAAUAACAUUAUAAGACGAGAAGACCCUGUGGAGCUUCAAAUCAAAAAUCAACUUCUUUCACUAUCCCCCAUAAGGAAAUACUUAUACAGAUUUGAUUUAAGAUUUUUAGCUGGGGCGGCUGUGGAGAAAAAAUAAUCCUCCAUGAAGACACAUGCUAAGGGCUAUCGCCAUAAGCAUUAAUAAACUUAAUCUAAAUUGACCCAAUUUUUGAUCAACAGACCAAGUUACCCCAGGGAUAACAGCGCAAUCCACUUUUAGAGUCCCUAUCGACAAGUGGGCUUACGACCUCGAUGUUGGAUCAGGGCAUCCUAGUGGUGCAGCCGCUACUAAAGGUUCGUUUGUUCAACGAUUAAAG
rnacentral:rRNA from 1 species